UGGGGAGCUCUCCCAUAUGGUCGACCUGCAGGCGGCCGCGAAUUCACUAGUGAUUAUUACCGCGGCUGCUGGCACAGAGUUAGCCGGUGCUUAUUCUGUCGGUAACGUCAAAACAGCAAAGUAUUAAUUUACUGCCCUUCCUCCCAACUUAAAGUGCUUUACAAUCCGAAGACCUUCUUCACACACGCGGCAUGGCUGGAUCAGGCUUUCGCCCAUUGUCCAAUAUUCCCCACUGCUGCCUCCCGUAGGAGUCUGGACCGUGUCUCAGUUCCAGUGUGACUGAUCAUCCUCUCAGACCAGUUACGGAUCGUCGCCUUGGUGAGCCAUUACCCCACCAACUAGCUAAUCCGACCUAGGCUCAUCUGAUAGCGCAAGGCCCGAAGGUCCCCUGCUUUCUCCCGUAGGACGUAUGCGGUAUUAGCGUCCGUUUCCGAACGUUAUCCCCCACUACCAGGCAGAUUCCUAGGCAUUACUCACCCGUCCGCCGCUCUCAAGAGAAGCAAGCUUCUCUCUACCGCUCGACUUGCAUGUGUUAGGCCUGCCGCCAGCGUUCAAUCUGAGCCAUGAUCAAACUCUAAUCGAAUUCCCGCGGCCG
rnacentral:rRNA from 1 species